GCAGCAGAUUACAGCUGGCAUUGUUUAGGCAGCUUAAGGGGAUUCAAAAUCCGGUUUCGAAAGAAGUGACGGUUCAAGUCCGUCCUGCGGUACCA
rnacentral:tRNA from 1 species